rnacentral:rRNA from 1 species
UACGUAGGGGCCAAGCGUUGUCCGGAUUUAUUGGGCGUAAAGAGCUCGUAGGCGGUUGGGUAAGUCGGGUGUGAAAACUCCAGGCUCAACUUGGAGAUGCCACCCGAUACUGCUCUGACUUGAGUUCGGUAGGGGAGUGGGGAAUUCCUGGUGUAGCGGUGAAAUGCGCAGAUAUCAGGAAGAACACCCGUGGCUAAGGCGGUUCUCUAGUACGGUACUGACGCUGAGACGCGAAAGCGUGGGGAGCGAACAGG